GCCUUAUCCCUCCUGGCUUCACUAGGUGGCUCUGCUCCUCUAUUCCUCGUGGCUUUGCCAUGCUAACUGGGAAAGGACGGGCAUAAUGACGUUCAGGCUCCCUAAAUCAUUCUUAACUCCACUGAAUUGAAUCUCCAGCCCAGAUAUUAACUUAUUUUUUGGAAGAAAUAAUUUAUGUCUUCCUGUCCUUUGGCAUGUGGCUUUCUGGAAGACACAGAUGAGGCAUCACAGUAAAUAAGCUCAGUGGUAACAUACAGUUAUAGAAAGCCCUGAAAUAUACAGGACUUUUUUUUCACUUUUUUUUUUUUUUUUUUUUUUUUUAAGUAGCCAAUGAUCUUUCUAGUACUGCUUGCAGUGCUCAUGCUUUAUAGUCCUACUCCUGCUUACAGCCACAUCUAUUCAAUGGCCUGUUCUUAUGCAGCUUUUUACUCAUGAGAUUACAGCAAUAUGCUUGCAGCAGCAGUCCUGUAUAAAGGUAUCCUGUAGCUAGAAGGGAAAAAUAAUGGAUGGGAUCAAAAUGACAGGUCAAAAUAUAUGACCAAAUUUAGAUUUCAACUGCUCUCAGCUACUGGUAUUUGUUUCUCUUGGCCCCAGCUUUCAGUCGUGCUGAGCACCCAGCUCUGCCACUGACAUGAGCUGGAACCAGGAAUAUUCAGCAUCUCUAAAAAUCAGACUUGAUGUGACUUGGGAAGGACCCCAAAACCAAGAAUUAGCUUCCUUACCUUGAAGCUGUGGGUGAAGCAUAGUGGAGGAUCCUGUCAUGGGGAUGCACCCCCAAGUGAACAUGUCUCCACUGUGCAGGGGCUGAAGGAAAUUUGGGACAUUUAGGCUCAAAACCCACACAGCCUGUUUACUCCUAACGUGCCCGGGGAUGAGUCUGGCUGCCGGAGCCCUGCAGAGCCUUGCAGCUGAUCCUCUUCCCUUUGGAGCCAGAGCACAAGCCAUGGACUCCAGACAGGAUCUCUUGAGCUUUUGCAAACGUAGUGCCAGACCAAUAAAACAAGAAUAACUUGGAUUUAUUUAUUCUCUAAACAAAAGUGGCUUGUUUUUUUUAAAAGCAAAUACAAUUUAUUUUAUAUCCCCAGCUAAGCCCUCCUACCCCCCGCCCCCCUUUGCAGGUAUACCCACGCACCUUAAUCUACAAUCAGCUGCCAAAAAGAAGAUCCACUUACCACUUUUCUUCACAUGUAUUGCUCUUAUCAGUUAAAAAAAUAAUAGUAAAUAUUCUCUGUAGACAGCAACAUCUAAGGUUCAGAUCUAUCAAAGGCAAUAGCCAGAAUAAUGGAUAGACAAGGGCUGGUCCACACACCUCUUGUGUCUGAUUCUGUCAUGGCUUUGUCUCAUUUCUCUGGAACUACUUGUAUUUUAACCUUUCUUGAUUAAUAAUAUUCAGGAAUGGAAAGACUCGGAUGAGAUAGCUGUACUGCACCUGACAGACUUGGCAUGGGGCUUUUUGCCAAUCGUGUAAUUACAACCUUCAAGGCAGCAUGAGCAAGUUCUUAAAUUUUACAAAGGCUCUUAUGCUUCUGUACUUCAAAGAAACAUUUUAAGUAUUUCUUUCAAAGGCACUGAUGUUAGUUUUUCUUUUCUGAUGAGGAAUAGCGCACAGAGGUGGAAAAGAGAAAUUUCCUCUUGGGAGAACCAUUUGCAUUCUAAUCAUUGCUGCUUUAUCUUGUAGCAUGAAACUCAAGAAGUGCGAUACUCCACAAAUAGAAGUCAAAGUGCCCAGUCUCCUUUCACUAGCAGAACAAGACAGAUUACUACUUGCUCAGUAGCUGACAGAUAAAAAGUUAAUGGUAUAAAGCACAAACCAGGUGAUACAUGAAAAUGAAGCAACAGCACAAAUAGCAAAAAAUCAAGGUUGUCCUUCCAGAUGCGGAUUGUGAGACAAGUUGCCAUGGCCAGCCAGCCCAGAAUGACAAAAUUCAGAUGGAAAUACAAAUCUCAGUCCAUGCCUCCAUCACCUCCAGGCUUUGGCCCCUGAGGGAUGUGAGCUGUGCUGAUUUACUCCAUCCGAGGAUCUGUCCCAGAGCAUGUCUGUGGGUGUGAGCGCAGGACAGCAGGAGCCCGAGGAUGUCCCUGCCAUGCCGGUCCCCUGGGCACUGUUUAACAACAUUGAUUAACCAGAUGCUUUCGGUGGUUGCCUGUACACCAGCCUUUUGGCUAAAAUUCACUGGAAACCACUUGAAUCUAAAAUAAAGACAUUACACGAGCAUGUUAAAUGAAAAAAAAGAAAAAAGCUAGAAAUCAAUUUCCAUUAGUAAGCUGUCUGCAAGGGAUGGGAAAUGAAACACUAAUUUACUUCAGUUAUGGGUCAUUACCUGAAUUUCAUGGCCAGAGGCAGAAUUGCUGGUUCCUAGCAGAAUGCAAUAUUACUGUUAUAACAUAGAACCAAUGAGAUCUUCUGUUUUAUUGGGCUCAGAAGGAAAUUAUUUUUUGUGGGAGGAGAAAGAAGGAAAAAACCGGCGUAAAGGGACCGAUUUUCAGCUAGCAUAAAUCAAUGCAGUGGUGUGUUUAUAUAGUGUAAUUGCCACUUUGAAAUAACAGAUGCAGCACACAUUAAUCAAGCGGUAGCCACCUGCAUAUUCUUUCAGAGUCUGUUGCUAUUUGCGAUUGGAAACUUCUGUCGUGCAGUGAUGCAGCUCCUCUGUGUGACUGACCGGUUUCCGUUGCAGCCAGCCACUUCUGCGCUGAGGUGGUCAUCAUGCAGCUUGCUGGGCAGCAUUGCCUUCACCAGGCUCCGGCCACUUUGUCAGAAAGCAAGCAGUUCAACAGUUUUUAGUUAGUAGUAUUUCCUACCCUGGGCUUGAGCACAAAACCAGGAUUACUGGUUUGCUUGGCAUAUAGCAGUUGUCUUCCUAGGCUGGUUUAGAGUCCAACGGGCUGGAAGAAUGGAAGACUAAGGGUCAAAUCACAAGGAUCUCAGUAAAUCUGUGAAGCUGGGGAUGGUGCUGCGUAACUGGGGAAUAGCAGAUGCAAAGAAGAAAAAAAAAUAGCAGGGGCAAUUACAAGCCUAAAAGUGAUGUAUCAGCCCUACAUGCGCUUUAGGGCAAAGGAAGGAACAAAUGAAGACAUGGAGGUACCUGGAAAAAUGGGACAAUGUGUAACAGAUUUGCCUGAAGUGGAUCACAGCAGGCUGGAUGCCACUGCCUGGGCAGAUGUCUGUUCCCUAAGCAAGAAGAUGUGGUACACCUUGCUUGUCUGGCCUGAAUAGCAUCUGUUAUGGUGUUUAUUAGGUGAUGACGCUGGCAGAGGGCAGUAGGGCUGCUGGGCAGAAGAGACCACGAGAGGCAACGCAGAAGGACAAGGAUCAGGUUUGGGAAGAGUCUUUGAUGGCACCAACCAGGGAUCCAGGAUGAUUUUAAAUACAGUAUGAGGAGGUGCACAGACACACCGAGACAAGCGUGUGUGCGUGCCUCAGGCUUCCCCUUCUGUGUGUGAGCACAUGCCACGGGAGGGAACAGUCUUGCAAUAAACCGGAAAGACUUUCUGUAGCACAAUACUGGUUUUCCUCUGUUACCACAGAUUUAUGUCUCAAUAUUUCUGGGUUGAAUCAUUUUACAGUAAUA